GUCGAACGGAAGUCGUUAUAAAAAGGAUUGAAGAUUUAUCUGAUUGAGACUUAUAACAAUGGCUUUAGUGGCGGACUGGUGAGUAACGCGUGAGCAACCUGCCUACUAGAGGGGAAUAACAGUGAGAAAUCAUUGCUAAUACCGCAUAUGCCAUGAACAUCACAUGAUGAAAAUGGGAAAAGAGUAAUCUGCUAGUAGAUGGGCUCGCGUCUGAUUAGAUAGUUGGUGGGGCAACGGCCUACCAAGUCGACGAUCAGUAGCCGGACUGAGAGGUUGAACGGCCACAUUGGGACUGAGAUACGGCCCAGACUCCUACGGGAGGCAGCAGUCGGGAAUAUUGCGCAAUGGAGGAAACUCUGACGCAGUGACGCCGCGUAUAGGAAGAAGGUUUUCGGAUUGUAAACUAUUGUCGUUAGGGAAGAUACAAGACAGUACCUAAGGAGGAAGCUCCGGCUAACUACGUGCCAGCAGCCGCGGUAAUACGUAGGGAGCAAGCGUUAUCCGGAUUUAUUGGGUGUAAAGGGUGCGUAGACGGGACAACAAGUUAGUUGUGAAAUCCCUCGGCUUAACUGAGAAACUGCAACUAAAACUAUUGUUCUUGAGUGUUGGAGAGGAAAGUGGAAUUCCUAGUGUAGCGGUGAAAUGCGUAGAUAUUAGGAGGAACACCAGUGGCGAAGGCGGCUUACUGGACGGUAACUGACGUUGAGGCUCGAAAGCGUGGGGAGCAAACAGGAUUAGAUACCCUGGUAGUCCACGCGG
rnacentral:rRNA from 1 species